AAAGGAAGGAAAGGAGGGAGGAAGGAAAGGAGGAAAGGAAAGAAGGAAGGGAGGAAGGAAUGAAGGAUGGAGGAAAGAAGGACGGAAGGAAGGAAGGAGGGAGGAAGGAAGUAAAGGAGGAAAGGAAAGAAGGAAGGGAGGAAGGAAUGAAGGAUAGAGGAAAGAAGGACGGAAGGAAGGAAGGAAGGAAGGAAGGAAGGAAGGAAGGAAGGAAGG